GAGGGUAUAGCUUUGUGGUAGAGCAUAUGCUUAGUAUGCCAAGGUCCUGGGUUCAAUUACCAGUACCUCCA
rnacentral:tRNA from 1 species